GAUGAACGCUGGCGGCAUGCCUAAUACAUGCAAGUCGAGCGGACGGACGGGAAGCGUUCGCCUCUGCUGUUGGCGACGGACGGACGGGUGAGACAUGCAUAACCAACCUAUAUGACAGGGAGGACUUCGGGGAACCGGAGCUAAUAACUGCUGAUAUUUUUAACCGCAGGGUUCAAAAGUGCAAGACGGUCUUGCUGUCACUAAUAGAUGGAUACGGGCUGCAUUAGCUAGUUGGUAAGGUAACGGCUUACCAAGGCAACGAUGCAUAGCAGACCUGAGAGUGUGAUCGGCCACACUGGAACUGAGACAGGGUCCAGACCCCUACGGGAGGCAGCAGGAGGGAAUCUGCCGCAUUGGGCGAAGGCCGGACGGAGCAACGCCGAGGGAGGGAUGAGGGUCUUCGGAUCGUAAAACUCUGUUAUUAGGGAAGAACAUAUGUGGAAGUAACCGUGCACAUCUUGACGGUACCAAUCAGAAAGCCACGGCUAACUACGUG
rnacentral:rRNA from 1 species